AGAAGAGUAAGUUAAUUGAAAACUGUGGGGUUCAUGUCCCCAUAAUACAUUAUGGUGUCUCUUCAA
rnacentral:tRNA from 1 species